CAUCACUGGUGUUCGGGUUGUCAUGCCAAUGGCACUGCCCGGUAGCUAAAUGCGGAAGAGAUAAGUGCUGAAAGCAUCUAAGCACGAAACUUGCCCCGAGAUGAGUUCUCCCUGAGACUUUAAGUCUCCUGAAGGAACGUUAAAGACGAUGACGUUGAUAGGCCGGGUGUGUAAGCGCAGCGAUGCGUUGAGCUAACCGGUACUAAUGAACCGUGAGGCUUAACCUUACAACGCCGAAG
rnacentral:rRNA from 1 species